CAUUGAGCUGCAUGGUUUAGUGAUUAAAGAUUCAUCGGUAUAGGAUGGGCAUGCGUCUGAUUAGCUAGUUGGCGGUGUAACGGACCACCAAGGCUACGAUCAGUAGGGGUUCUGAGAGGAAGGUCCCCCACACUGGCACUGAGAUACGGGCCAGACUCCUACGGGAGGCAGCAGUAGGGAAUAUUGGGCAAUGGACGAGAGUCUGACCCAGCCAUGCCGCGUGCAGGAAGACGGCGUUCUGCGUUGUAAACUGCUUUUAUCUGGGAAGAAAAUGCCCUUGCGAGGGAAAUUGCCGGUACCAGAUGAAUAAGCACCGGCUAACUCCGUGCCAGCAGCCGCGGUAAUACGGAGGGUGCAAGCGUUGUCCGGAUUUAUUGGGUUUAAAGGGUGCGUAGGCGGCUAUUUAAGUCAGUGGUGAAAGACUCCGGCUCAACCGGAGCAGUGCCAUUGAUACUGGAUAGCUUGAGUAUUGUAGGGGUACAUGGAAUUGAUGGUGUAGCGGUGAAAUGCAUAGAUACCAUCAGGAACACCGAUAGCGAAGGCAUUGUACUGGCCAAUAACUGACGCUGAUGCACGAAAGCAUGGGUAGCGAACAGGAUUAGAUACCCUGGUAGUCCAUGCCGUAAACGAUGAUUACUCGCUGUUAUGGCUUUAUGUUGUAGCGCCCAACCGAAAGCGUUAAGUAAUCCACCUGGGGAGUACGCUCGCAAGAGUGAAACUCAUAUGAAUUGAC
rnacentral:rRNA from 1 species